UAGCCGUUGCUAGCCGUUAGCCGUUGCUAGGUGCUUGCGUUACCUCGCGUUAGCCGGGGCUAGCGAGCAGGCUAAUGCGCGCUAACGUGAAGGAGUCGUUGGUGUAGCCAGCUGCGACUUAAUGUUGCCCUCUCCGCCGCUCGUAGCAUCCGCACUCACACCCCGUGCUGUGUCCUCACACGGCUGCUGUCGUGUGAGCAGCUCGGGUGUUGAUGUAAGAGCCCGGAGCUCUUUAAACGUUAGCGCCAUGCUGUCCACUAACCUUAGUGUUGGCGAAUGCACUGUCAUCAAGAAGAAGACAGAAAGUCUGAGGCCUCGGACCAUAAACCUCUCACCAGUUUAGCUUAGCUUGCCACCAGGCAGCUACGGGUUGAGUUACGGUGUGUUUUUUUUUUUUUUAAACUUUGCAAAACCAGACGGAGGUGGCUCACUUAAAAGCACGUAGCGAUAGUUGUAGCAGGCCACACGGGAGGUUAUCCUGUUUAAUCACAUCAGAAGUUGUUUCAGGUGUCACAGUGCAGUACAACCUGGCUUCACCUGGUUUGACAGCAAGAGGUGUGAGCUGUGACGCGUGUUUGAAAGGGAACUUUAGAGGAAGACGGUUCAAGUGUUUAAUCUGCUACGAUUACGACCUGUGUGCGUCGUGCUACGAGAGCGGAGCUACGACGACCAGACACACCACAGAGCACCCCAUGCAGUGUAUAUUAACCAGGGUAGACUACGAUCUGUAUUACGGAGGUGACACUUUUUCAGUAGACCAACCCCAGUCGUUCACAUGUCCUUACUGUGGCAAGAUGGGCUACACAGAGACGUCCCUACAGGAGCACGUCACCUCAGAACACGCAGAGACUUCCACAGAGGUG